AAUGUCAUUCAUCUUAAAAAGAUGAAUAUAUGAUUUUAAGAAUAUUAGUCUCCUUUUGGUGUGGGAAGUAAACUGCAAUUUGGAGUAAAGGAGAGAAGUUAUUUGUGCCACGUUGUAAAACAGGAUGGCAUGGAGCAUAUAGGCCAUCUUGGCAGUACAGGGGUGUGUGGCUAUCCAUCACUGUGCAGUCUGUCAGCAAGGAUCUUCAACCAGCCAGGAACAUGUAGCCCUCACACAGAGCAGGUAUCGAUGAUGGACAAUGCAAUAUAAAAGGACGUUGGAAGCAUUCUGAAUCCUCAGGAUGAGCACUUUGCUGGCAUAAAGAAGCCAACCUAAAAGAAGGACUGAGUGGGAAAUACAGGACAGUAAGAGGCCCUAACUAAAUCCAGCCAUUUUAGUAUGUGGCUGGCACACACUGAAGGCAAGAGCAGAAGACACUUCUCUGGGUCUGUGUAAACAUGCUAACACAUCUGACUGGAAUAUAAUAAAGUGAUUAUUUCUACGUCUGAUUGAAAGUUAUAAAGUCCUUAGGACCAGAAGCUGAAUGCAGGAAACCCAUGGUUGUCAUAGUAGCCAUGAAAUCUUUAGAUGCUUCAGAGCUGUGAAAAAAGUACCACGUGCAGGCACAGGGCAGUAAAUCUUCAAUACUUUUUAUCACUUCUCAUCAUCUCAGAAUAUUAUAUGAAACUUAAAAGGUUUCAAAAUGAAACCUUAAAUAUCAAAAGGCAGUAAAGAAAUCAUAGAGCCUGAGGGAAUAACC